AUGAGGCCCAGGUCAGGCCAGGCGGGCCCUGAGGCCCCCAGGGGUCCGAGCUGCGUCCCCAGGCCGCCCUGGCCUCUGAUACUGCUGGGCCUGGCCGUGGGCGCCCACGGCCUGCUGCCCCCGACGGCGGCACCGCGCAGCACGGCCCCCCGCGCGGAAGCCCCCGCAGGAAGCAGCGCUUGGAGCCUGCGGAGCCUGUGGGAGAGGGCCCCGCCCCAGCCCCGCCCCCGGAGGGUCGGCCACAGGUGCUGGCCUGGCGGGGUUUGGUCACCGUGGUUCAUCUUCGGUGGUGGGACCGAGGUCACCGUCCUAGGUCAGCCCAAGUCCGCACCCUCGGUCACUCUGUUCCCGCCCUCCACUGAGGAGCUCAAGAUCAACAGGGCCACCCUGGUGUGUCUCAUCAAUGACUUCCACCCGGGCAGCGUGACGGUGGCCUGGAAGGCAGGCGGCACCCCCAUCACCCAGGGCGUGGAGACCACCCAGGCCUCCAAGCAGAGCAACAGCAAGUACGCGGCCAGCAGCUACCUGACCCUGACGGCCAGCGACUGGAAAUCUCACUCGAGCUACAGCUGCCUGGUCACACACGAGGGGAGCACCGUGGAGAAGACAGUGGUGUCCUCAGGGUGCCAUUAGGUCCCUGGGC